rnacentral:rRNA from 1 species
GAUGAACGCUGGCGGCGUGCCUAACACAUGCAAGUCGAGCGAUUCUCUUCGGAGAAGAGCGGCGGACGGGUGAGUAACGCGUGGGUAACCUGCCCUGUACACACGGAUAACAUACCGAAAGGUAUGCUAAUACGAGAUAAUAUACUUUUAUCGCAUGGUAGAAGUAUUAAAGCUCCGGCGGUACAGGAUGGACCCGCGUCUGAUUAGCUAGUUGGUAAGGUAACGGCUUACCAAGGCGACGAUCAGUAGCCGACCUGAGAGGGUGAUCGGCCACAUUGGAACUGAGACACGGUCCAAACUCCUACGGGAGGCAGCAGUGGGGAAUAUUGCACAAUGGGCGAAAGCCUGAUGCAGCAACGCCGCGUGAGUGGUGAAGGCCUUCGGGUCGUAAAGCUCUGUCCUCAAGGAAGAUAAUGACGGUACUUGAGGAGGAAGCCCCGGCUAACUACGUGCCAGCCGCCGCCGUAA